CCCACCCCCUUUCCUGCUGCAGCCUCUGGAAGCGCUUUAAUCAUUUAACUCCGAGCCGUGCAGCCGGGGAGAGGGUGAGAACGAUGGGAAGAGAAGAACGGAGCGAAGGGGCGUGUGUGUGUGUGUGUGUGUGUGUGUGUGUGUGUGGGGGGUUCUUUUCCUUCUCGCCGCAAGCAGGAGAGCGGUGGACUCAGACGCUGGAGUGAUGGGGCUCAAGUUAUUCGACUGGCCCCUGUGAUGAGAGAGAGAGAGAGAGAGAGAGCGGGAUGGAUGGAUAUGGGGAGGCGGGGUGUUUGUAGAAGCACUGAAAGCCACAGCAAGUGGUCCAGAAAAAGCCUGCUCAGGAAGAGGAGGAGGAGGAGGCGGAGUCUGCAGAGGAAGACUAAACAACCACAGGAUUUUACCUCUACCUCAAUCAGCUGUCAGGUCUUUGGAAGGGAAAAGACGGCCUUGACCACUUAUUGUUGACUUUCCACUCAUAUUUUCACUUUUUGGGUUUCUUUUUGCCGUGUUGGGGGUUUGUUUUCCUCGUUGUCGUUGUAUUUGUAGUUUCUGUCCGAGACGAACACACGCCACACCUCACC
ensembl:lncRNA